rnacentral:rRNA from 1 species
CGCUGGCGGCGUGCCUAACACAUGCAAGUCGAACGGAACUGCUUCGAAGGAUUUCUUCGGAAUGACAUUGAUUCAGUUUAGUGGCGGACGGGUGAGUAACGCGUGAGUAACCUGCCUUCAAGAGGGGGAUAACAUUCUGAAAAGAAUGCUAAUACCGCAUGACAUAUGAUUGUCGCAUGGCAGACAUAUCAAAGAUUUAUCGCUUGAAGAUGGACUCGCGUCCGAUUAGUUAGUUGGUGAGGUAACGGCCCACCAAGACCGCGAUCGGUAGCCGGACUGAGAGGUUGAACGGCCACAUUGGGACUGAGACACGGCCCAGACUCCUACGGGAGGCAGCAGUGGGGGAUAUUGCGCAAUGGGGGCAACCCUGACGCAGCAACGCCGCGUGAAGGAUGAAGGUUUUCGGAUUGUAAACUUCUUUUAUUAAGGACGAAUAAUGACGGUACUUAAUGAAUAAGCUCCGGCUAACUACGUG